CUCGUAUGAAGUCUCAUUUAAGAUAAUUUCAUGCAUAUUUUCAUUCUUCCCUACUUCAUAUAUGCGGCGUUUUAUUUGAGCAAUAUAAUAAAAUUACACAUUUUGAUGAAAAAACAUCAAUUGUUCUCGAGGUGUUCCGAACGCACCUCAUUGAAAAACAAAACAAUUGAAGCCCCGAUAUAAUCCAUGCAGUUCUGAGCACUGCAAAAAAUGCCGAACAAUUCGAAAUGUUUAGCAACAACGCAUUGUUACUUGUCCUGGAACAUUCAAAAUAUACUUUUAAUUUCACUUAUAGAACGUAGUAGUCAAUUUCAUUCGCAUGAAACCUGUGUGUUUAGCACAGUUUUUAAAUUGUAGCGGUAACCAAAAAUCUCCCAUUCAAAUUUCAUUAUAAUUUUUCCUAUCUGACAGGACAUCAUCAUCUGUAAUGAACGUGGAAUGCGUUGUAUUUCAUUAAUUGCAAUAAUGACAAGUUUUAUGUUUCUACAACUAUCAAGUACUAAACCAGAUAGAUUUCUUAUUCGGUUGCUUGAAAGAUCAAGGGUCUUUAUCAAAUCAAACAAACAUAACCAAAACUGAC
rnacentral:lncRNA from 1 species